UACAGAGGGUGCAAGCGUUAAUCGGAAUUACUGGGCGUAAAGCGUGCGUAGUCGGUUAUCUAAGUCGGAUGUGAAAUCCCCGGGCUCAACCUGGGAAUUGCAUUCGAAACUGAAUAGCUAGAGUUCGGCAGAGGGAAGUGGAAUUUCCGGUGUAGCGGUGAAAUGCGUAGAUAUCGGAAGGAACAUCAGUGGCGAAAGCGACUUCCUGGACCAGAACUGACGAUCAGGCACGAAAGCAUGGGGAGCAAAAGGG
rnacentral:rRNA from 1 species